CAAGUCGAGGGGCAGCGGGAGUAGCAAUACUUGCCGGCGACCGGCGCACGGGUGCGUAACACGUAUACAAUCUACCUUUAACUGGGGAAUAGCCCGGAGAAAUCCGGAUUAAUACCCCAUAACAGCAGAAUCGGCAUCGAUUUGUUUGAAAACUACGGUGGUUAAAGAUGAGUAUGCGCCUGAUUAGUUUGUUGGUGAGGUAACGGCUCACCAAGACUACGAUCAGUAGGGGAUCUGAGAGGAUUAACCCCCACACGGAUACUGAGACACGGAUCCGACUCC
rnacentral:rRNA from 1 species